AGUAAUGCUUGGGAAUCUAGCUUAUGAGGGGGAGUAACUACGGGAAACUGUAGCUAAUACCGCGUAGAAUCGGGAGAUGAAAGUGUGGGACCUUCGGGCCACAUGCCAUAGGAUGAGCCCAAGUGGGAUUAGGUAGUUGGUGAGGUAAAGGCUCACCAAGCCGACGAUCUCUAGCUGGUCUGAGAGGAUGACCAGCCACACUGGGACUGAGACACGGCCCAG
rnacentral:rRNA from 1 species